UGUCGUUACUACCGAUUGAAUUAUUUAGUGAGACCUCAGGAUAUAAUCACUGUAACUCAUUUUACGUGUUGCGAAUGUUACGCAAAACUUGACUAAAUUUUAUUGUUUAGUGGAAGUAAAAGUCGU
rnacentral:rRNA from 1 species